rnacentral:rRNA from 1 species
AUGAACGCUAGCGACAGGCUUAACACAUGCAAGUCGAGGGGCAGCACAGGUAGCAAUACCGGGUGGCGACCGGCGCACGGGUGAGUAACGCGUAUGCAACUUGCCUAUCAGAGGGGGAUAACCCGGCGAAAGUCGGACUAAUACCGCAUGAAGCAGGGGCCCCGCAUGGGGAUAUUUGCUAAAGAUUCAUCGCUGAUAGAUAGGCAUGCGUUCCAUUAGGCAGUUGGCGGGGUAACGGCCCACCAAACCGACGAUGGAUAGGGGUUCUGAGAGGAAGGUCCCCCACAUUGGUACUGAGACACGGACCAAACUCCUACGGGAGGCAGCAGUGAGGAAUAUUGGUCAAUGGCCGAGAGGCUGAACCAGCCAAGUCGCGUGAGGGAUGAAGGUUCUAUGGAUCGUAAACCUCUUUUAUAAGGGAAUAAAGUGCGGGACGUAUCCCGUUUUGUAUGUACCUUAUGAAUAAGGAUCGGCUAACUCCGUGCCAGCAGCCGCGGUAAUACGGAGGAUCCGAGCGUUAUCCGGAUUUAUUGGGUUUAAAGGGUGCGUAGGCGGCCUUUUAAGUCAGCGGUGAAAGUCUGUGGCUCAACCAUAGAAUUGCCGUUGAAACUGGGGGGCUUGAGUAUGUUUGAGGCAGGCGGAAUGCGUGGUGUAGCGGUGAAAUGCAUAGAUAUCACGCAGAACCCGAUUGCGAAGGCAGCCUGCCAAGCCAUUACUGACGCUGAUGCACGAAAGCGUGGGGAUCAAACAGGAUUAGAUACCCUGGUAGUCCACGCAGUAAACGAUGAUCACUAGCUGUUUGCGAUACACUGUAAGCGGCACAGCGAAAGCGUUAAGUGAUCCACCUGGGGAGUACGCCGGCAACGGUGAAACUCAAAGGAAUUGACGGGGGCCCGCACAAGCGGAGGAACAUGUGGUUUAAUUCGAUGAUACGCGAGGAACCUUACCCGGGUUUGAACGCAUUCGGACCGAGGUGGAAACACCUUUUCUAGCAAUAGCCGUUUGCGAGGUGCUGCAUGGUUGUCGUCAGCUCGUGCCGUGAGGUGUCGGCUUAAGUGCCAUAACGAGCGCAACCCUUGCCACUAGUUACUAACAGGUUAGGCUGAGGACUCUGGUGGGACUGCCAGCGUAAGCUGCGAGGAAGGCGGGGAUGACGUCAAAUCAGCACGGCCCUUACAUCCGGGGCGACACACGUGUUACAAUGGCGUGGACAAAGGGAUGCCACCUGGCGACAGGGAGCGAAUCCCCAAACCACGUCUCAGUUCGGAUCGGAGUCUGCAACCCGACUCCGUGAAGCUGGAUUCGCUAGUAAUCGCGCAUCAGCCACGGCGCGGUGAAUACGUUCCCGGGCCUUGUACACACCGCCCGUCAAGCCAUGGGAGCCGGGGGUACCUGAAGUCCGUAACCGAAAGGAUCGGCCUAGGGUAAAACUGGUGACUGGGGCU